UACGUAGGUGGCAAGCGUUGUCCGGAUUUACUGGGCGUAAAGAGCGCGCAGGCGGUCGAUUAAGUCGAGUGUGAAAUCCCACGGCUCAACCGUGGAAGUGCACUCGAAACUGGAUGGCUAGAGUCCUGGAGAGGAAGGUGGAAUGCUUGGUGUAGAGGUGAAAUUCGUAGAUAUCAAGCGGAACACCGGUGGCGAAGGCGGCCUUCUGGGACAGUGA
rnacentral:rRNA from 1 species